rnacentral:rRNA from 1 species
CAGUCGCCGCGGUAAUACGGAGGGUGCAAGCGUUAAUCGGAAUUACUGGGCGUAAAGCGCACGCAGGCGGUCUGACAAGUCAGAUGUGAAAUCCCCGGGCUUAACCUGGGAACUGCAUUUGAAACUGGCAGGCUAGAGUCUUGUAGAGGGGGGUAGAAUUCCAGGUGUAGCGGUGAAAUGCGUAGAGAUCUGGAGGAAUACCGGUGGCGAAGGCGGCCCCCUGGACAAAGACUGACGCUCAGGUGCGAAAGCGUGGGGAGCAAACAGGAUUAGAUACCCCUGUAGUCCCUGUCUCUUAUAA